UUACAGUCAUUAAAUGUAGGAGUCAAAAAGGGAGGUGGGAGAGAGAGAGAGAAUGAAGAACCCUAGCUGGAAUUAAUUAAAUACCUUCUUAACAGACAGAAAGAACACCUUUCCUGUUCUGGUGUGGUAUAUGGAACUCACCAUCUUCAAGAAGACAGAAGUACUGUUUUUUACUUUCUCUCUACAAACGCUGCAGAAGUCUUGCUUGAUGAGAGAUUAGUGGAUUUCUAUCGAAGUUUGGGAUCAGGAUGUGAUGUUUCUACUUCCCCCGUGUUGCUUCAAUUAAAACAGUUCCUUCUUCUCCAAGCCUGCAUCACAUGUCACUCUUGGAUUCCAAAGAAAAAGAAGAACAUGGGUAUAAGGAGGCAUUUGAAGUGUCAGGUUUCAGCACACUAGAUGGAGAUAUGAAUGUACUUACUUAUUUCAUACCCUCCCCUUUUCCUGUGUUCUGUAAGCCAAACAAAAAACAGAAUCCUAUUAGUUACACCCAAUGGUAUAACACAAUUGGAGUAAAUCUCAGCUGUGAGUUGCUGGGAAUGAAGACAUUAGUUUGGGCAUCUGGUGUUGUAUACCACUUGUGUGACUCAGUGCACAACAGCAUAUGCCUAUCUUGACUCUUUAUCUUGCAGCAGUUUGCAGCUAAAAUUCACACCAGUGGAGUUAUGCUGACAUUGCUUUUCAACUGGACUCCAGAUGUACAGUAUGCAACUAAGAGCAUGACCAUAUUGACAAAAAAUGUGGGAAAUGUUGCAGGAUCGGGACAGUCUCAUUCACAUCCCCCCCCCCCAUUGUGACUUUUCAACUGGGUUCCAGACAUACGCAACUAAAAAAUGUAGGAAAUGUUGCAGGAUUGGGACAAUCUCAUUCACAUCCCCCCCCCCAUUGUGACCCUAUGAUGUAAAAGCCAAUGUGAAUCAGCCUAGAGUCCCCCCUGCUUCAAUUCAUAGCUUGAACUGAUGGCAAUCAAUGUGAUCCUCCAUGUUUCCCUCUGGAAAAAAUAUGCCUUAAAAAAACAGUUUGAUGCCAGUGUUGCUAGGGCAGCAAGAAAGGGGGGAAAAAAGAAGAAGAGCGAGAAGAGGAAACAAGAUAAGGAAACUGCCACUCUGCCCUUGCUUACAUCCUAUUAAAUAGAUGUUCUGUAGCUGCACCUUCUGCAGAACUAUAGGAGAGCUCUGUUAAACUGCAAACAAGUCUUUUUAGCCAAUUUCCUCCUCUCCCUAGGUGAUCAGUGGACCCAGGAAAACCUGAAUAUCCAGUGUGACAUCACAGCAAAUAAAUUUGAAUUUCUUUCUCUGCA
rnacentral:lncRNA from 1 species